rnacentral:rRNA from 1 species
AUUGAACGCUGGCGGCAGGCCUAACACAUGCAAGUCGAACGAGUGGCGGACGGGUGAGUAAUGUCUGGGAAACUGCCUGAUGGAGUGGGAUAACUACUGGACACGGUAGCUAAUACCGCAUAACAUCAGGUGUGCCCAGAUGGGAUUAGCUUGUGGGUGGGGUAACGGCUCACCAAGGCGACGAUCCCUAGCUGGGCUGAGCGGAUGACCAGCCACACUGGAACUGAGACACGGUCCAGACUCCUACGGGAGUCAGAAGUGGGGAAUAUUGCACAAUGGGCGCAAGCCUGAUACAGCCAUGCCGCGUGUAUGAAGAAGGCCGUCGGGUUGUAAAGUACUUUCAGCGGGGAGGCGUUACCCGCAGAAGAAGCACCGGCUAACUCCGUGCCAGCAGCCGCGGUAAUUC